GACUUUUGGAGGGCCGAGUUGCAGGCGGCGGGCGCAUCCCGGAGAUGGCGGGGCAGGGAGGGAGGGAAGGAGGAGGGGGCGGGGAGGGAGGUGCAGAUUUGCACGGCUGGCCUCAGCGGGAGGCGCGGAAAUGCAAGCCGAGCAUGCUGGCGUGAAAGCCCCCGGGGCCUGGCACCCCCAAAAACGACCCCCCACCUCCGUUCCUGCCCUCAUUGCCCAGGGCUACCCCUCUUCCUCUUCUUUCAUCCACCCCUCCCCCAACAUUACCUGUGUGGCCGACUCAAAUUCAAAGCAUUUUGUAUAUAUAACUGUUUUCUUUUUUUGCUUUUCUGCUGCAUGUCUUUUUCGUGGGGGGUGAUCCUCUGCAGAUCCCCCCAUUUGCGGACCCGCCAUGUGGAGGAGGCAUUUGGGGGGCUCAGAAGGAAAUUAGCUCGGCUUCCAUACCUAUAAGGACUGCCUAACUUUUAAACUCCCGGCACUCAAAGAUGUGGACACACACACGUACAGGAAAUACAGCCAGACCAGAGCCUUUGCAGUCCGCAGCUGACCGGAAGACGUUGCCUUUCAUUCAUUCAUUCUGCCCGCCUCUGUGGACUCCUUUACUAGGCGACCAGCCCUGAAACAGAAGUUGGACAUUUUUUAAAGGUUCUUGCGCUCGGCAAGGGGAGCAGAUAGAUGCUCAGGAGCGAAAGACGCAGAGAAUUGGAUCUGGCGCCUCCUAACGCAGCCCGCACAGGAGCGAAGGAGAGUGUGACGAUCCCCCUGAUGCGGCUGAGAUGUUCUGAAAUGAAGACGUUGGCUCUCAUCCCCAGCCUGAAGAGAGAAAAUUCUGAGAUGGCUCCCUUACAGAUUGAGAGCAGCUUGAUCAACUAUCCUUAAAGUGUACCUCUUUGAACAAGAUACCGGGCCCGGCGGCUGUGGCUAAUUAUUAGGCACUGGGUAGGAACACAGCCAAGAACGAUUGCAGGAUGGGUCCUUCCAGGACACUGACGUCUCAGCUUGCGCACUGUGAGUCCCUGGACGAGUUACUCCACCUCUCUGAACCUCCUCCUCACUUGCAUAAUGGGAAAAAUAAUGGACAUAGGAAGAUGAAACAAGACCUUGGAGACCACAUUUACCAUCUUAUUUUCCUUGUUCCUUUUUCUUUUCUUUUUUUGUUUUUGUUUGUUUGUUUUUUGGAGACAGGGUCUCACUCUGUCACCCAGGCUGGCGUGCAAUGGCGCGAUCUCAGCUCACUGCAGCCUCUGCCUCCUGUGUUCAAGGGAUCCUCCCACCUCAGCCUCCCGGGUAGCUGGCACCACAGACGCACACCACCAUGCCUGGCUAAAUUUUUUUGUAUUUUUAGUAGAAGUGGGGUUUUACCAUGUUGGCCAGGCUGUUCUCGAACUCCUGGCCUCAAGUGAUCCGUCCACCUCGGCCUCCCAAAGUGCUGGGAUUACAGGCGUGAACCACUGAGCCCGGCCCCUUGUUCCCUGUUCUGUUUCUUUUUCACUGUUAUCACUGAUCACCAUCGAUCAUAUUAUCUACAUAUCUAUUAGAUUGGCGCAAAAGUAAUUGCUGUUUUUGCCAUUACCUCCAAUGGCAUUACUUUCAGUGGCAAAAACUGCAAUUACUUUUGCGCCAACCUAAUAUAUUGAGACAGGGUCUCUCUCUGUCACCCAGGCUGCUGGAGGGCAGUGACACAAUCACAGCUCACUGCCAUGUCCAACUCCUGGAUUCAAGUGAUCCUCCCGCCUCAGUCUCCUGAUUACCUGGGACUACAGGCAUGUAUCACCACACCCAGCCGGUUUUUUUGUUUGUUUGUUUUUGAAACAGUUUUGCUUUUGCCCCCCAGGCUGGAGUGCAAUGGCAUGAUCUUGGUUCACUGCAACCUCUGCCUCCGGGGUUCAAGCGAUUCUCCUGUCUCAGCCUCCCAAGUAGCUGGGAUUACAGGUGCCUACCACCACACCUGGCUAAUUUUUGGUUUUGUGGGUGUGUGUGUGUGUGUGUGUGUGUGUGUGUGUGUGUGUUGGAGUCUGGCUCUGUCACCCAGGCUGCUGGAGUGCAAUGGCGCAAUCUUCAGCUCACUGCAACCUCUGCCUCCUGGGUUUAAGCAAUUCUCCUGCCUCAGACUCCUGAGUAGCUGAGAUUACAGGUGUCCACCACCACGCCCGGCUAAUUUUUGUAUUUUUAGUAGAGACAGGGUUUCACCGUGUUGGCCAGGCUGGUCUCCAUCUCCUGACCUCAGGUGAUCCACCUGCCUCAGCCUCCCAAAGUGCUGGGACUACAGGCGUGAGCCACCACGCCCGGCUCAAGUUUCUCUUUUUCUUUUUUUUUUUUUACAUUUUGUAGAGACAGGGUCUCACUAUGUUGCCCAGGCUGGUCUUGAACUCCUGAUCUCAAGCAAUCCUCCCUCUCUGGCUCCCGAAGUGCGGGGAUAAUAGGCAUGAACCACUGUGCACAGCCCAUAUUUUAUAUUCUACUUAACUGAGUUUCUUUAGUUUUUAUUCCUCCCACUAGGAUGUCUGUUUUGUUUACCUCCAUAUCUCCAGCCCCUAGAACAGAACUUGGUUCAUGGUGGGUUCAGUAACUAUUUGAAUUAAAUGAAUAGAUGGACGUAAAAUGGUUAGUACUGCGGUGCCCAGUAAUGGUAGGUAUCAAACUUAGUCUCUGUGCUCCAACAGAAAGCAGUGUAAUUUAAGAUGGGCACAGUGGGCUGGGCGCGGUGGCUCACACCUGUAAUCCCAGCACUUUGGGAGGCCGAGGCAGGUGGAUCACCUGGGGUCAGGAGUUCGAGACUGGCCUGGCCAACAUGGUAAAACCUUGUCUCUACUAAAAAUACACAAAAUUAGCUGGGUGUGGUGGUGGUCACCUGUAAUCCCAGCUACUUGGGAGGCUGAGGCAGGAGAAUUGCUUCAACCUGGGAGGUGGAGGUUGCAGUGAGCCAAGAUCACGCCACUGCACUCCAGCCUGGGCGACAGAGCGAGACUCCGUCUCAAAAAAAAAAAAAGAUGGGCACAGUGGCUCCCGCCUGUAAUCCCAGCACUUUGGGAGGCCGAGGUGGGCAGAUCACCCGAGGUCAGGAGUUCGAGACCAGCCUGGCCAACAUGGUGAAAAACCCUGUCUCUACUAAAAAUACAAAAAUUAGCCGGGUAUGGUGGCACACGCCUAUAGUCCCAGCUACUUGGGAGGCUGAAGCAGGAGAAUCACUUGAACCUGGGAGGCAGAGAUUGCAGUAAGCCAAAAUCUGGCCACUGCACUCCAGCCAGGGUGACAGAGCCAGACUCCAUCUCAAAAAAAAAAGAACGAAAGAAAGAGAGCAGUGUAAUUGGAGCAGGGAAAAUGCAGCAUCGUAAUAGGAGGUACAGGUUAGGAGCUCUGGCUGAGAAAUCCCGUCUGUACCAUGUACCAGCUGUGUGACCUGGAACAGAAGAAUGAAUUCACCUUCCUGAGGCUCAGUCUCCUCAUCUGUCAAAUGCAGGUGAUGUAGGACCUCCUGGGAAGGAUGUGAGCAUGCAGGAGAUGGUAAAUGAAAAGCACUUAGCAGAGUGUCUGGUGCAUAAUAAGUGCUCAGAAAACACUGGCCUACGCUGUUCAUUAUAGUAAUACUCAGAUGAGGGGGACCUCUGAGUCAAUUAAACAGUUGCUAAGCACUUAAAAUAUGUCACGGGCCAGCGAGUCCAGUAAACAUUUAUUGACUUAAAUCUGUGAACUCCUUAAGGGAAGGGACUGUGUCUACAUUGUCAUGAUCCCGGCCCCAGAAGAUGCUAAUUAAUGUGAAAACAUGCUGGAAAAGUUACAUACUGAACUCAAAUAUGAGUUAGAAUACAGAAUAGCUAUUAGAGUAAUAACACCCAUUGCCUAACAUGUGCCAGGCUUGCUGUUGGGUGUUGGAGAAAGGGCAGGGAGCUUAAACAAACAUGGGAACUUACAGCUUAGCAGGGGAGACAGACUUUGUUCUGAGAAUUGCACAGAUAGAGAGGAAACUCUGAAGUUGAUAAAUAUCACAAAGAAGACAUAUGUGGUGCUGUGAGUUCCAUAAUAUGGAGGGAGGGAGGGUUGACCUGGUCUCGGACUGGGGAGGGAGUGAUGCCUAGAGCUGAGCUCUGAAGAAAAGUUCUUUGCUAGGCUGAGUGUUGGGGAAGUGCUCUCAGCAGAUGAAAUGGCAGAUAGAAUAGGCCUUCUGACUGAGGCACACAUGUGCUAAAGGGCGCAAAAGAAGGCCCAUAUGACACAAGCAUAGUGAGCUGAGGGUGCGAUUGGGGGUGAAAUAAACUGCAAAAAUUAGUAGACACUUUGGGAACUAGCUGGGCAAUGUCUGAUAAAGCUGAAGGUGUGUGUAACCUAUGAUGCAGCCGCUCCACAGCUGAGGACAUUGUUGACAGAAAUGCAGGAGUGCACUGGGAAGCAUGAACAAGAAUGAUGGCCCUAGCAGCAUUGUAUAUCAUCACAAAAAACUGGAAAUAGGCUGGGCGCGGUGACUCAUGCCUGUAAUCCCAGCACUUUGGGAGGCCAAGGCAGGCAGAUCACCUGAGGUCAGGAGUUCGAGACCAGCCUGGCCAACACGGUGAGACCCCAUCUCUACUAAAAAUACAAAAAUUAGCCGGGUGUGGUGGCACAUGCCUAUAAUCCCAGCUACUCGGGAGGCUGAUCAGGAGAACUGCUUGAACCCGGGAGGCGGAGGUUGCAAUGAGCCAGGAUCGUACCACUGCACUCCAGCCUGGGGCAACAGAGCAAGACUUUGUCUCAAAAAAAAAAAAAAAAAAAAAAAAAAGACAGGUUCAGGCCUGGUGUGGUAGCUCACAUUUGUAAUGCCAGCACUUUAGGAGGCCAAGACAGGAGAAUCGCUUUAGUCCAGGAGUUUGAGACCAGCCUGGGCAACUUAGUGAGACUCUGUCUCUGCAAAAAAAAAUGUAAAAGUAUGGGCGCGGUGGCUCAUGCCUGUAAUCCCAGCAUUUUGGGAGGCCGAGGCAGGUGGAUCACCUGAGGUCAGGAGUUCGAGACCAGCCUGGCCAACAUGGCAAAACCCCAUCUCUACUAAAAAUACAAAAAUUUGCUGGGCAUGGUGGUGUGUGCCUGUAAUCCCAGCUACUCAGGAGGCUAAGGCAGGAGAAUCACUUGAACCUGGGAGGCGGAGGUUGCAGUGAGCCAAGAUUGCACCAUUGCACUCCAGCCUGGGCAACAAGAGCAAAACUCCAUCUCAAAAAGAAAAAUGAAAAAAAUUAGCUGGGUGUGGUGGUGCACUCCUGUGGUACCAGUUUCUCUGGAAGCUAAGGUGGGAGGAUCACUUGAGCCCACAAAAUCAAGGCUGCAGUGAGCCAUGAUCGCAACACUGCACUCCAGCCUGGGCAACAGAGUGAGACCCUGUCUCCAAAAAAAAAAAAAAAAAAAAAUUCUGGGCACGGUGGUUCACGCCUGUAUUCCCAGCACUUUGGGAGGCCCAGGCAGGUGGAUCACUUGAGGUCAGGAGUUCAAGACCAGCCUGGACAACAGGCUGUAUUUUGUAUUUUGUCUAUUAAAAAUAGAAAAAUUAGCUCGGCAUGGUGGCGUGUGCCUGUAAUUCCAGCUACUUGGGAGGCUAAGGCAGAGUUACUUAAAUCUGGGAGGUGGAAGUUGCAGUGAGCUGAGAUCGCGCCACUGCACUCCAGCCUGGGCGACAGGGAGACUCCAUCUCAAAAAAAUAAAAAAAUAAAAAAUACAGGCAGGUUCUUGCAACAUGUAUUUCCUGUGUACCAGACCUUGUGUUAGUCCUUCCUUCAUGCAUUCAACAUGUAUUAAACACCUACUGUGUGCCAGGCCUGAUGCCUGUAAUUUAUUCAUACAUUAUUUAUUCAAUCCAAGCAGGAUUUAUGGAGUGCUUAGGUAAUGCUAAGCUCUGAGCUUGUCAUUCAAUGCAAUGUAUGUUUAUCAAGCAGCUACUGUAUACAGCUGUCCCAAUCAGUGCCUGGGUACACAGUAGUUCAAUAAAUGCCUGAAUGAAUGAACGCCCUCAAGGAGCCCCCAGUCUUCCUGCUAACAUGGCCUGUAAAUAAAUAACUCUAACACACAAAGAUAAGGCUAGAAGGUGGGUGUGUUUAGAGUGCAGAGGGCCCCUUAUCACCUGUACUGCCAGGUACCUUUCUCAGGGCCAUAUCUUCUCACCUGGGAACCAGCUCUUUGAAGGUGAGGCCAGGCUGGCCCCUAGCUCACCUGCCUGUCCAUCCCCGGGCACCCAUGGAGGACUUUGCCUGCAGCUCCCACUCAAUCAUUGCCUGCUGUCUAAUUACGGCCGCUUCCGUGACCGCAGUUGUUCCUUCCUUCAUACACCAGGCAAGAGGGCAGCAGCUGAGUUCUAACCCUGGAGCUCUGGCAAAGGGCCUGCACUUCUGACAGGUGCCCUCCCUCAGAUUUGGCCUGAUUUUCCAUCUAUGAAAUGAAAGAUUUGAUUCUCCUCCUCCUUGACUUCUUAACACCUUGCCUGGACUCCUAUAAUGGCAAGUUAAUUUUGAAAAAUUAUAGAGGUAAUCCAUGAUCUAAUUUUGCAAAAACCCAGACAAUGCAUAGAAAUCAUUGAAGAUGGGCCAGGCGUGGUGUCUCACGCCUGUAAUCCCAGCACUUUGGGAGGCCAAGGCGGGCGGAUCACCUGAGGUCAGGAGUUCGAGACCAGCCUGGCCAACAUGGCGAAACCCUGUCUCCACUAAAAAUACAAAAAUUAGCCAGGCAUGGUGGUGCAUGCUAGUAAUCCCAGCUACUCAGGAGGCUGAGGCAGGGGAGUCGCUUGAACCCAGGAAGCGGAGGUUGCAGUGAGCCGAGAUCAUGCCGUUGCACUCCAGCCUGGGCAACAGAGUGAGACUUCAUCUCUAAAAAAAUAAAUAAAUAAAUAAAUAAAAGAAAUCAUUGAAGACUCAAAUCUUCACUAGAGUCACAAAGCUUUGCACAAUCCAAAACUUUCCUUCCUUC
rnacentral:lncRNA from 1 species